CAGCCGCCGCGGUAAUACCGGCGGCCCGAGUGGCGGUCACUAUUAUUGGGCUUAAAGCGUCCGUAGCCGGGUUGGGAAGUCCUCCGGGAAAUCUGGCCGCUUAACGGUCAGAAUGCCGGAGGAUACUCCCAGCCUAGGGACCGGGAGAGGCCGAGGGGAUUCCCGGAGUAGGGGGGAAAUCCUAUAAUCCCGGGAGGACCACCUGUGGCGAAGGCGCCCGGCUGGAACGCGUCCGACGGGGAGGGACGAAGGCCAGGGGAGCAAACCGGAUUAGAUACCCGGGUAGUCCACGCCGUAAACGGUGGGCACUAGGUGUGGGGGGUUAAUCCCUCCGUGCCGAAGCUAACGCAUUAAGUGCCCCGCCUGGGGAGUACGGCCGCAAGGUUGAAACUUAAAGGAAUUGGCGGG
rnacentral:rRNA from 1 species